UAACGCGUAAGGAACCUGCCUUCUAGAGGGGAAUAACAAUGAGAAAUCAUUGCUAAUACCGCAUAUGCCGAGAGAAUCACAUGGUACAAUCGGGAAAAGAGUAAUCUGCUAGAAGAUGGCCUUGCGUCUGAUUAGAUAGUUGGUGGGGUAACGGCCUACCAAGUCGACGAUCAGUAGCCGGACUGAGAGGUUGAACGGCCACAUUGGGACUGAGAUACGGCCCAGACUCCUACGGGAGGCAGCAGUCGGGAAUAUUGCGCAAUGGAGGAAACUCUGACGCAGUGACGCCGCGUAUAGGAAGAAGGUUUUCGGAUUGUAAACUAUUGUCGUUAGGGAAGAGAAAGGAC
rnacentral:rRNA from 1 species